UCCAAUAAAUGGUCCAAAUUACAAAAUUCACCAGACCCAAUUACAGUGGCCCGAUAUCUCGCCCAAAUCAUUUUUAGCCUAAUCCAGCCCAACCUAGCCCAAAACUUUUCCCAAAUGCCGAAACCCUAGUUUUGUUGGAAUGGUCCAGUGGCCAUUUUUCCUUAGCCACCGCAACAGUUUCAGCCACCAUUGCUUCUGUCCGCCUCUUGCACGCGCUGCGUCUUCCACGUGCGUCUCCAGCUGGCGUGUACCUGCAGCAAACAAACAAGCCAACGCAGCACCAAACAAAAAGGACAUAUAGCAGUUGUAAAAAAGGAAAAAUGGGGGAGAUUUUUUUUUAUUUUUUCUUCAUUUCGGCUAUAUAGGCCAUUAAAAACUGAAUCUGUAAAGAGGGGGAACCCUCACGCAUACUGUAUGAGAGACACACAUAUAUUGAAUACAAAAAAAAAAUUUCAGAAAGAAAACCCGAAAGGUGAUUUAAUUUUCGCCCUUUUUUUGUUCUUGCUUCUUUUCCUUUUUUUCUGGUGUUUUGAAUGCAAAUCAUUCAACGAAAGAUAAAAAAGGGAGAUUAGAGUGUUUAGACGUACCUAGAGGCUGGAUUUUCGCCUUCUCUCCGCGGCCAUCAGAUUUGAAACGGAGAUGGAGGGCCUUAGAAAGUGACGAACGC
rnacentral:lncRNA from 1 species